CAGUCGCCGCGGGAAUACGUAGGUCCCGAGCGUUGUCCGGAUUUAUUGGGCGUAAAGCGAGCGCAGGCGGUUAGAUAAGUCUGAAGUUAAAGGCUGUGGCUUAACCAUAGUACGCUUUGGAAACUGUUUAACUUGAGUGCAAGAGGGGAGAGUGGAAUUCCAUGUGUAGCGGUGAAAUGCGUAGAUAUAUGGAGGAACACCGGUGGCGAAAGCGGCUCUCUGGCUUGUAACUGACGCUGAGGCUCGAAAGCGUGGGGAGCAAACAGGAUUAGAUACCCCCGUAGUCCCUGUCUCUUAUACC
rnacentral:rRNA from 1 species